rnacentral:rRNA from 1 species
CACUUCUAAGGAAGGCAGCAGGCGCGCAAAUUACCCAAUCCUGACUCAGGGAGGUAGUGACAAGAAAUAACAAUAAACCGGCUUAUGCCGGUUUAAUUGGAAUGAGUACAAUUUAAACAUCUUAACGAGGAACAAUUGGAGGGCAAGUCUGGUGCCAGCAGCCGCGGUAAUUCCAGCUCCAAUAGCGUAUACUAAAGUUGUUGCAGUUAAAAAGCUCGUAGUUGGAUUUCUGUGGGGACGGAGCGGCCGGCCGCACAUCGCGGUUCGAGCUAGCGCUUUCCCUACAUCCUGCCGCGAACCGUGCUACCAUUAAUUUGGUGGCGCCGGGGAUCGGCUCGAUUACUUUGAGAAAAAUAGAGUGUUCAAAGCAGGCCACAUGCCUUGAAUAAGUUAGCAUGGAAUAAUAACUAAGGACUUCGGUUCUAUUUUGUUGGUGUUCGGGACUGAAGUAAUGAUUGAUAGGGACAGUUGGGGCGGUCUGUAUUCCAAAGCGAGAGGUGAAAUUCUUAGACCUUCGGAAGACAAACAGCUGCGAAAGCGUUCCGCAAGGAUGUUCCCUUUGAUCAAGAACGAAAGUUGGGGGAUCGAAGACGAUCAGAUACCGUCGUAGUCUCAACUAUAAACUAUACCAGCUAGGGAUCGGCCAACGUUAUUUUAUACCGACUUGGUCGGCACCUUAUGAGAAAUCAAAGCAUCUGGGUUCCGGGGGGAGUAUGGUCGCAAGGCUGAAACUUAAAGGAAUUGACGGAAGGGCACCACCAGCCGUGGAGCCUGUGGCUUAAUUUGACUCAACACGGGAAAACUUACCAGGUCCAGACAUAGUAAGGAUUGACAGAUUGAUAGCUCUUUCUUGAUUCUGUGGGUGGUGGUGCAUGGCCGUUCUUAGUUGGUGGAGUGAUUUGUCUGGUUAAUUCCGUUAACGAACGAGACCCCAGCCUGCUAAAUAGCGCGCGUGAGCUUUGCUCGCGGCGAGCUUCUUAGAGGGACUCUGAUGCGCGAUAGCACAUGGAAGUUUGGGGCAAUAACAGGUCUGUGAUGCCCUUAGAUGUUCUGGGCCGCACACGGGCUACACUGGCGCCUGCAUCGAGCAUAUCAGCUGGCCCGAGAGGGUCUUGGCUAAUCUUUUGAACCGGCGCCGUGCUUGGGAUUGACCUUUGCAAUUGUUGGUCAUGCAACGAGGAAUGCCUUGUAAACGCGAGUCAUCAGCUCGCAUUGAAUACGUCCCUGCCCUUUGUACACACCGCCCGUCGCUCCUACCGAUGAAUGUUCCGAUGAAAUUUUCGGAGAGCACCUGUGAACUUGGCUCUGCCUUGCGAACGGGAGGCUCAAAGUCACUUAAAUCUGAACAUUUCGAGG